UACGAAGGGGGCUGGCGUUGUUCGGAUUUACUGGGCGUAAAGCGCACGUAGGCGGAUUGUUAAGUCAGGGGUGAAAUCCCGGAGCUCAACUCCGGAACUGCCUUUGAUACUGGCAAUCUAGAGUCCGGAAGAGGUGAGUGGAACUCCUAGUGUAGAGGUGGAAUUCGUAGAUAUUAGGAAGAACACCAGUGGCGAAGGCGGCUCACUGGUCCGGUACUGACGCUGAGGUGCGAAAGCGUGGGGAGCAAACAGG
rnacentral:rRNA from 1 species